rnacentral:rRNA from 1 species
AUGAACGCUAGCUACAGGCUUAACACAUGCAAGUCGAGGGGCAGCAUGGUCUAGCAAUAGACUGAUGGCGACCGGCGCACGGGUGAGUAACACGUAUCCAACCUACCGGUUAUUCUGGGAUAGCCUUUCGAAAGAAAGAUUAAUACCGGAUAGUAUAACGAGAAGGCAUCUUCUUGUUAUUAAAGAAUUUCGAUAACCGAUGGGGAUGCGUUCCAUUAGUUUGUUGGCGGGGUAACGGCCCACCAAGACAUCGAUGGAUAGGGGUUCUGAGAGGAAGGUCCCCCACAUUGGAACUGAGACACGGUCCAAACUCCUACGGGAGGCAGCAGUGAGGAAUAUUGGUCAAUGGACGAGAGUCUGAACCAGCCAAGUAGCGUGAAGGAUGACUGCCCUAUGGGUUGUAAACUUCUUUUAUAUGGGAAUAAAGUGCAGUAUGUAUACUGUUUUGUAUGUACCAUACGAAUAAGGAUCGGCUAACUCCGUGCCAGCAGCCGCGGUAAUACGGAGGAUCCGAGCGUUAUCCGGAUUUAUUGGGUUUAAAGGGAGCGUAGGCGGAAGCUUAAGUCAGUUGUGAAAGUUUGCGGCUCAACCGUAAAAUUGCAGUUGAUACUGGGUUUCUUGAGUGCAGUAGAGGUAGGCGGAAUUCGUGGUGUAGCGGUGAAAUGCUUAGAUAUCACGAAGAACUCCGAUUGCGAAGGCAGCUUACUGGACUGUAACUGACGCUGAUGCUCGAAAGUGUGGGUAUCAAACAGGAUUAGAUACCCUGGUAGUCCACACAGUAAACGAUGAAUACUCGCUGUUUGCGAUAUAAUGCAAGCGGCCAAGCGAAAGCAUUAAGUAUUCCACCUGGGGAGUACGCCGGCAACGGUGAAACUCAAAGGAAUUGACGGGGGCCCGCACAAGCAGUGGAGUAUGUGGUUUAAUUCGACGCAACGCGAAGAACCUUACCAAGUCUUGACAUCCCUUGACGAACAUAGAAAUAUGUUUUCUCUUCGGAGCAAGGAGACAGGUGGUGCAUGGUUGUCGUCAGCUCGUGCCGUGAGGUGUCGGCUUAAGUGCCAUAACGAGCGCAACCCUUAUCUUUAGUUACUAACAGGUCAUGCUGAGGACUCUAGAGAGACUGCCGUCGUAAGAUGUGAGGAAGGUGGGGAUGACGUCAAAUCAGCACGGCCCUUACGUCCGGGGCUACACACGUGUUACAAUGGGGGGUACAGAAGGCAGCUACACAGCGAUGUGAUGCUAAUCCCAAAAGCCUCUCUCAGUUCGGAUUGGAGUCUGCAACCCGACUCCAUGAAGCUGGAUUCGCUAGUAAUCGCGCAUCAGCCACGGCGCGGUGAAUACGUUCCCGGGCCUUGUACACACCGCCCGUCAAGCCAUGAAAGCCGGGGGUACCUGAAGUCCGUAACCGUAAGGAGCGGCCUAGGGUAAAACUGGUAAUUGGGGCU